rnacentral:ncRNA from 1 species
UUAAACGCGUUGAAGGACUAAAGUAGAGCAGAAUUCCCCCAAUGGAGAGAGCCGGUGGCUGGUGCGAACCGGUUUGGGCUUCUGUUCGAAUUACACUCUGGAGCAGUGGGUUGUCCACCGGCUGGCCCCGCCGUUAAAGGGGAGAGUGGAUUCGGCCUGUCAGCCGGAUCAACAAGGGUGGUACCGCGGGUUCAACUCCUCGUCCCUUCG